rnacentral:rRNA from 1 species
GCGGCGUGCAUAACACAUGCAAGUCGAACGAUGAAGAUAUUUAGAUUCCUUCGGGAUGAAAAAUAUUGGAUUAGUGGCGGACGGGUGAGUAACGCGUGAGUAACCUGCCUUACACAAGGGGAUAGCCGUUGGAAACGACGAAUAAUACCCUAUGACAUAGACUCUUCGCAUGAAGAGCUUAUCAAAGAUUUAUCGGUGUAAGAUGGACUCGCGUCUGAUUAGCUAGUUGGUGAGGUAACGGCCCACCAAGGCAACGAUCAGUAGCCGGCUUGAGAGAGUGUACGGCCACAUUGGGACUGAGACACGGCCCAGACUCCUACGGGAGGCAGCAGUGGGGAAUUUUGCACAAUGGGGGAAACCCUGAUGCAGCGACGCCGCGUGAUUUAGAAGGCCUUCGGGUUGUAAAAAUCUUUUGUAUGGGAAGAAAAUG